GCAGAAGGUGAUUUAUGUUUGAAUUUUUACUGGCCAUUUUACAUCUUUUACAUUGUACUAGUAGUAUGCCCGUGAGAAAGAGAGUUCACACUUGGAUUAUAUAUUGAGAAACAGAGAGUAAUGUAAAAAAAAUACUGAACACACAUACGUACAUGCUUACAAUAGACGAAUAAAAUGUGGAUUGGUGGUACUGUACUGGUGUUGAGAAUUCAAAAACUGAAAAGUUGAUGUGUACGUGACC
rnacentral:lncRNA from 1 species